GCAUAAUCAUUUGCCUCUUAAUUGGUGGCUAGUAUGAAUGGACACACGAAAAUAAGACUGUCUCCUUAAUAUAAAUAAAAAUUAACCCCCACGUGAAGAGGCGUGGAUACUACAGAAAGACAAAAAGACCCUAUGGAGCUUUAUUUCACCGUUAACACAAGAAAAUAUUUAUAAAACUUAAUACAUAACCUAAAAUUCAGUUGGGGCGACUGAGGAACACAACAAACCUUCCUUAAAACAAAAGAAAAUAAUUCACCCAAAGAUCCGCACUAUGCGAACAGACUAAGCUACCCUAGGGAUAACAGGCUAAUUCUUCUUAAGAGCCCAAAUUGACAGAAGAGA
rnacentral:rRNA from 1 species